rnacentral:rRNA from 1 species
GACGAACGCUGGCGGCGUGCUUAACACAUGCAAGUCGAACGGAAAGGCCCUGCUUUUGUGGGGUGCUCGAGUGGCGAACGGGUGAGUAACACGUGAGUAACCUGCCCUUGACUUUGGGAUAACUUCAGGAAACUGGGGCUAAUACCGGAUAGGAGCUCCUGCUGCAUGGUGGGGGUUGGAAAGUUUCGGCGGUUGGGGAUGGACUCGCGGCUUAUCAGCUUGUUGGUGGGGUAGUGGCUUACCAAGGCUUUGACGGGUAGCCGGCCUGAGAGGGUGACCGGCCACAUUGGGACUGAGAUACGGCCCAGACUGCUACGGGAGGCAGCGGUGGGGAAUAUUGCACAAUGGGCGGAAGCCUGAUGCAGCAACGCCGCGUGCGGGAUGACGGCCUUCGGGUUGUAAACCGCUUUCGCCUGUGACGAAGCGUGAGUGACGGUAAUGGGUAAAGAAGCACCGGCUAACUACGUG